ACAAGCCAACAAGGCGAUGUAAACUUCCCAGCUUCAUACCAAUCUUCUUCGGCAGUUUCUGGGUUCUUUCAAUAUGAAUGCUGAGUCUCAGCAGCACUCAGUCCAUGAAAGAGCAGAAAUUCGAGAGCUACUUUGGCCGCAACAUUGCCAUCGAUGCCAGCAUGAGCAUUUAUCAGUUCCUCGUAUGGAUUCUACUACUCCUUUCUUUAUACUGGUUCUGUAUUUUGGCUAAAGAAGCUUUCUUUCCGAUGUGGGUGUGUGUGAACUGGUGUAGAUUGUUGUGGGAAGAACUGGGACUGAGAUGCUCACUAAUGAGGCUGGUGAAGUUACUAGUCAUCUCCAAGGCAUGUUUUCGCGGACUAUUAGGCUUCUGGAAGCUGGAAUUAAGCCGGUCUAUGUUUUCGAUGGGAAGCCUCCAGAAUUGAAAAGCCACGAGCUGGCAAAGGGGUAGCUUUCUUACCGCCUAGUUCCAUAAGCAUGUGUUAUUGAUUGAUGUGUUUUGUCCAAUAAUGCGUGUUGUACAGCAACUUUAUAUGCAGUUACUCAAAGAGAGUUGAUGCUACUUGAGAUUUGGCGACAGAUGUAAAGUCUGGCAAUAAGGAAGACAUUGAGAAAUUCAGUAAACGGACAGUAAAGGUGACAAAGCAGCACAAUGAAGACUGCAGAAGACUUUUAUGGCUCAUGGGUGUGCCUGUAAUUGAGGCUCCCUCGGAAGCAGAGGCGCAGUGUGCUGUGCUUUGCAAGGAAGGAAAGGCACCUGUAUACACCAUAACACCCAGAACGAGCCAUUUUUUGGUCUAAGAAACCCAUUCUGGUACGAAUCAAACACACCAAAUCCCAGAACCCGAAACCAAGCGCCAGCAAUUUAAUUUUUGUCCUCCAUUUCUCUCACCAACCACGGCCAAAGCCUCGUCUCUCCGAUGGAAAAUUCUCCGUCAAGCCCUUCUUCGCAAACCAACCGGUCCCUUCCUCAACCCUCUCUCUUCCUCUUUAAUCAAACUGAGCUUGAAAUUUAUAUAUCUGAAUUCUAUGUGCUGGAGCAAAUAAGCAAUCUGCAAUUGGGGUUAAGCGAAUCACGAGGAAGACGAUGCGAAGUUUCUAUCGCUUAGUUUCUUUGCUGGGUACAAGAUAAGGGCAGUUUGGGAAAUUAGGUGAUUUAUUUAGAUAUAUUUAAA